CCUACGGGAUGCAGCAGUGGGGGAUAUUGCACAAUGGGGGGAACCCUGAUGCAGCGACGCCGCGUGGGUGAAGGAGUGCUUCGGCAUGUAAAGCCCUAUCGGCAGGGAAGAAGCAAGACGGUACCUGACUAAGAAGCCCCGGCUAACUACGUGCCAGCAGCCGCGGUAAUACGUAGGGGGCGAGCGUUAUCCGGAUUCACUGGGUGUAAAGGGAGCGUAGACGGCCAAGCAAGCCAGGGGUGAAAGCCCGGGGCCCAACCCCGGGACUGCCCUUGGAACUGCAUGGCGGGAGUGCGGGAGGGGCAGGCGGAAUUCCUGGUGUAGCGGUGAAAUGCGUAGAUAGCAGGAGGAACACCGGCGGCGAAGGCGGCCUGCUGGACCGCGACUGACGUUGAGGCUCGAAAGCGUGGGGAGCGAACAGGAUUAGAUACCCCGGUAGUC
rnacentral:rRNA from 1 species